rnacentral:rRNA from 1 species
CCUACGGGUGGCAGCAGUGAGGAAUAUUGGUCAAUGGGCUUACGCCUGAACCAGCCAAGUCGCGUGAGGGAAGACUGCCCUAUGGGUUGUAAACCUCUUUUGUCAGGGAGCAACGCCGGCUACGUGUAGCCGGACUGAGAGUACCUGCAGAAAAAGCAUCGGCUAACUCCGUGCCAGCAGCCGCGGUAAUACGGAGGAUGCGAGGGUUAUCCGGAUUUAUGGGGUUAAAAGGGUGCGUAGGCGGAAUGCAAAGUCAGCGGUAAAAGCGCGGGGCUCAACCCCGCUCCGCCGUUGAAACUGGCGUUCUAGAGUGGGCGAGAAGUAUGCGGAAUGCGUGGUGUAGCGGUGAAAUGCAUAGAUAUAUGGAGGAACACCAGUGGCGAAAGCGGCUCUCUGGUCUGUAACUGACGCUGAGGUUCGAAAGCGAGGGUAGCAAACGGGAUUAGAUACCCGGGUAGUC